rnacentral:lncRNA from 1 species
ACAAAGACACAUACACACAAACACUCUCAAAGACAUAAACAAACACGCACACACUUAAACAAACACAAAAAAACAUACACAUACAUAAACCCCCCAUUCACACACACAUAAGCACAUAGAUACACGCACACAUACACCUUAACACAUAUAUUACAUACACAAACACACAUCUUACACUACAAACACACACACACACAAACACAUACAAAAACACACGUAAUUAUACAAAAACAGACACAGACAGACUCUCACACACACAUAUUACCAAAUAAACACACACAUACACACUCUCACACAAACAUGCACAAACAACACACAAACACACAUUCAGACACACAAAGACACACAUUCAGACACACACACACACACCUACGCAAACACAUAUAUUACACACACGCACACACCCACACAUAUACAAACUUAUAUCCCCACACAUACCACCAACAUAAACACAUAAACACACACACGCACACACAUGACACACACAAUCUCAUAAACAAACACACACAUACUCUCACACAAACAUGCAGAAACAACACACAAACACACGUAACUGUAUAAACACAGACGCAGACAAAGACACUCACAUAAAAACACUCCCAAACACAAACAAAUACACACACACACUCACACAAACAAAAAAAAANACCAUCACCGUAGCUCACUUCAUCCACCAAAUUCUUCACGCAAAACAUCAUCAUCCGCUACUGCUAAUUCACAGAAACUCCAUCCGCUGCUUGCUNUUUCUGCCUCAUCGCUGUCCAUAUUCGCUUUGCAACUUCCGCUGCAUCUCAAUCCACAAUUCAGGCUGGAGCAUCCGUAUCAGUGGGUGUCCAUGUGUGUGUGUCGGUUUGUGUGUGUUUCUUGGGGCGUGAGUUAGUGUGUGUAUUUUUAUUUGUGUUUGUUUCUGUAUUUGUAUGUGUGAGUGUGUGUGUGUGUGUUUGUGUGAGAUUGUAUGUUUUAAUGUUUUAGAGAGAGAAAGAGAAAAAGAGAGAGUAUGUGUGUGUGUCUAUAUGUUUGUGUAUGUGAUGUAUUAAACACAUAAACACAUGUAUUAAACACAUGUAUUUGUGUGGGUAAUAUGGGUGUGUAGGUGUGUCUAUGUUUGGGUUUAUACAAUUACGUGUGUUUGUGUAUGUGCUUUUGUGUGUGUGUGUGUGAGAGUUUGUGUGUGUGCGUGUUUGUGUAUGUAUGAGUGUGUGUGUGUGUGUGUGUGUGUUUAUGUGACUGUGUGUGUCAUGUGAGUGCGUGUGUGUGUGUUUAUGUGUUUAUGUUGGUGGUAUGUGUGGGGGUAUAAGUUUGUAUGUGUGUGGGUGUGUGCGUGUGUGUAAUAUAUGUGUUUGUGUAGGUGUGUGUGUGUGUGUCUGAAUGUGUGUUUGUGUGUUGUUUGUGCAUGUUUCUGUGAGAGUGUGUAUGUGUGUGUUUGUUUGGUAAUAUGUGUGUGUGAGAGUCUGUCUGUGUCUGUUUUUGUAUAAUUACGUGUGUUUGUGUAUGUGUUUGUGUGUGUGUGUGUGUGUUUGUAGUGUAAUAUGUGAAUGAGGGGUUUAUGUAUGUGUAUGUUUUUUAUUGUUUGUUUGUGUGUGUGUGUGUGUGUUUGUUUGUGUCUUUGAGAGUGUUUGUGUGUAUGUGUCUUUGUGUGCGUAAUAUGUGUGGGUGGGUGGGUGUNAGUAUGUAUAUGUUUAUACGGUUGUGCGUGUGUGUCUAUUUAUGUGUUUAAUACAUGUGUUUGUCAGAAUGUUUGUGUGUUUUUGUGUUUGUGUGUGUCCAUGUGUGUGUGUGUCGGUUUGUGUGUCUGUUUGUGUGCGUGCGUGUGUGUUUGUUUGGGCGUGAGUUAGUGUAUGCAUUUUUAUUUAUGUUUGUNAUACACACAAACACUCUCAAAGACAUAAACAAACACGCACACACUUAAACAAACACAAAAAAACAUACACAUACAUAAACCCCCCAUUCACACACACAUAAGCACAUAGAUACACGCACACAUACACCUUAACACAUAUAUUACAUACACAAACACACAUCUUACACUACAAACACACACACACACAAACACAUACAAAAACACACGUAAUUAUACAAAAACAGACACAGACAGACUCUCACACACACAUAUUACCAAAUAAACACACACAUACACACUCUCACACAAACAUGCACAAACAACACACAAACACACAUUCAGACACACAAAGACACACAUUCAGACACACACACACACACCUACGCAAACACAUAUAUUACACACACGCACACACCCACACAUAUACAAACUUAUAUCCCCACACAUACCACCAACAUAAACACAUAAACACACACACGCACACACAUGACACACACAAUCUCAUAAACAAACACACACAUACUCUCACACAAACAUGCAGAAACAACACACAAACACACGUAACUGUAUAAACACAGACGCAGACAAAGACACUCACAUANAAACACUCCCAAACACAAACAAAUACACACACACACUCACACAAACAAAAAAAAAACACACACACAUGUAUACACACAAAAACCCAUCCACACAUACAUACACAUUAACACAUAUAUUACAUACACAAACACACAUAGUACACACACAAACAAACACACACACACACACACUCUCUCUCACACACAAAAACACAUACACAAACACACGUAACUGUAUAAACACAGACACAUACGCACUCACAUACACACAUAUUACCUACACAAACAAAAACACACAUGCAUACAUGCACACACACAAGCACACACACACACAAACAUAGACACACACACACGCACAUAUUACACACACACACUAACAAACAAACCCGCCCACCCACACAAACACAUACAUUACACACACACAUACAAACUUAUACCCACACACACAUAUUACCCACAUAAACACACACACACAUCACAAACACACACAUCACACACACGCACACACACAUACGCACACACUCAUACAUACACAAACACACAUAUUACACUAUCAUAUUGAUAAACACUCAUAACUGUAUAAACAUAGAUACACCCACACACACACAUAUAACCCACACAAACGCAGACACACACUUUCACACAAACAAGCAAGCACAAACACACAUUCACACACAACAACACACACAAACACACAUACACAUACACACAUGAAUGCACACACAAACACAUACACACCUACCACCACAAACACAAACAACCAAACACACACAGAUAUUACGCAGAUACUGGCCCAUACAAACGCAUAUAUUACACACACAUACACAAACCUAUACUUACACUUCCAUUCACCUACACACACAUAUCACCCACAUAAACACACGCAAUCAUAAAUACACACAUCACAUACACAAACACAUAGACACACACUCUCUCUUUUUCUCGUUCUCUCUCUCUCAAACAUUACAACAUACAAUCACACACACACACACACACACACUCACAUAUAGAAAUACAAAAACAAACACAUACAAACACAAAUAAAAAUGCACACACAAACCGACACACACACACAUGGACACACAC